CCUACGGGAGGCAGCAGUGGGGAAUAUUGGACAAUGGGCGCAAGCCUGAUCCAGCGACGCCGCGUGGGUGAUGAAGGUCUUCGGAUUGUAAAGCCCUUUUGUGAGGGAAGAUAAUGACGGUACCUCACGAAUAAGUCCCGGCUAACUUCGUGCCAGCAGCCGCGGUAAUACGAAGGGGGCUAGCGUUGUUCGGAAUGACUGGGCGUAAAGGGUGCGUAGGCGGUUUUAUACGUUUGGUGUGAAAGUCCUGGGCUUAACCUGGGGAUUGCACUGAAUACGGUAAGGCUAGAGUUUAAGAGGGGAAGAGGGAAUUGCGGGUGUAGAGGUGAAAUUCGUAGAUAUCCGCAAGAACACCGGAGGCGAAGGCGCUCUUCUGGCUUAUGACUGACGCUGAGGCACGAAAGCGUGGGGAGCAAACAGGAUUAGAUACCCUUGUAGUC
rnacentral:rRNA from 1 species